AACUAUCAAUUGCUCCAACUUAGAAAUUAAAGGUACACGGUAGUAUAUUGUCCGUUGGCAUUAUGUUGAACAUAUAACAAAUUAGGAAAAGGAGGAAUAAUAUGGAUUACAGAGAGAACCUCUCUGUGUCUGGCCGCCGACACUCACGACUAACCCUCUGGGGUGAUGGGAUAAGACGCGUCCGACUGUUAAUCGGUGUUCUCGUACCAUACUGUCCUUACAUGCCUCCCCAACUCAUCAGUGAGCACCUCCUCAUCUCAGAAUAACCACCACCUGUUAUAAACACUCACGCAGUGGCAGCAUUUUUUUUUUAAUGUAGUUAGAUCUUAGUCCUUUUAGAUACCUAUUCUACUGACCAUGUGGGGUUUAAACCUGGAAAGAAUGGUUUUUUAAAUAUAAAGGAGGCAUAUCACCCACGAAAAAAUGCAUGCAUAACUUGUUGUUCUCAUAAUUAAUGCUCCAUCCGUCUCAAAUAAAUGACUCAAUUUUGUACAAAAUUUGUACUAAAGUUAGUAUAAAGUUGAGUCCUUAUUUUGGGACAGAGGGAGUAUGAAAUAUGCAUAUCUUCAGAACAGAAGGGAGGCACUCUAAAUAAUAAUAGUUGGUAUAACAUACUGGUCAUGAACAAAUAUGGAAACACCAAUAACUACCUUUUGAUAUUGACCAUGUUUCAUGAAUCUCGAAAUUGUUGCUUGACAAUAAAAAGAUCACCAACAUUCAUCAUGCAUGACGCUACUUUCUGACCCUAGAUGUGAACCAACAGCAAAUUGAUAACACAAAUAUUUCUGUUAAGAGAGUGUCCAAUGGGGAAAAUUAUGAAGCAAGAGAGUGUAGAACAAUGAGGUUAGCUGAUUGAGAAGGAUCCAGCAGGCUGACAUAGCUUAUUCUAAAUAAAGAUCAUAAACAAUCUGAUAUAGUAAAAAAGCUGCUCAAAUAGGCCCAGGUUACUAUUGAAAUACAAUCAGAACCUGAAUGUAUAUUAACUGAAUCAAAAUGGCCUAUCAUAUACAUGUUCAUACACAUAGAACAUGCAUGAAAAUGAAUCAACUUAAUCAAUGACAAACCUAAACAGAAAAGUGAACAUAAUAUGAUCACCAGAGCGACAUAUGUGUCUAAGUAUGCUCACAAUAUAAUAUGUAAGAGAAUCGACAUAUGACAUGCAACUGGAUUUUAUUGUUACAGAUUAGUAAGCAUCUGCGACCAUCUACUUGCAAUUUCCAUGACAUCUCUCUAUAAAUAGUCAUCUGCCAGUGUGGAUGCAACACCACAAAAAAUCUAGGUCUAGACAUAAUAAAAAAUGUUCAUUUGUAUCGUGCAGUUUAAUAAUACUAAAAGCAAACAAGUAAGAGGAGGGAAGCAAGGUCGCAACCUGCAAGCUGAAGCAGAGCAUGUCCUUGAGGCCAAAUUACGAAUGGUCCUCCUUCCACAUCAAUCAUUUUCAGAACAUAAACAACAGUAACUUUGACACAUCGUAUACAUUUUAGUUAGCUUAGCUGUGCAAGGCCUGAAAUAAACAGUGAUUACCAGUAUUAUCAGAUCAAGAAGCAGAUUGUAACAUACUGGGUACCAACAGUAAUCACCAAGGAAACUAAAAAAGGAGCACGAGGACAAUUUUCAAUCACCAGAACUGACCAUAAUACAUAAUCUGUGAAGCAAGAGUGAGCGUGUGAUUGCUGGAGCUUCUUGGCAUCGGUGGUUGCUGCUGCUCCUGUACCACACUGGAAGGUUGAAGACCCAGGCGCAAACGAGGGGACGCCG
rnacentral:lncRNA from 1 species